rnacentral:rRNA from 1 species
GACGAACCGUGCGAACGUUGUUCGGAAUCACUGGGCUUAAAGGGCGCGUAGGCGGGUCUUCAAGUUUGGGGUGAAAUCCUCCGGCUCAACCGGAGAACUGCCUCGAAUACUGAAGGUCUCGAGGGGGAUAGGGGCAUGCGGAACUACGGGUGGAGCGGUGAAAUGCGUUGAUAUCCGUAGGAACUCCGGUGGCGAAGGCGGCGUGCUGGAUCCCUUCUGACGCUGAGGCGCGAAAGCCAGGGGAGCAAAC